GGAGGGAUCAUUAAACGCUUCUUGCUGUGCUGGCUCUUUUCGGGGCUGGGUCGCCGUGCUAGGGUUUGGGGUGCGUCGAUCCUUAAGGUCCCAACCCCCUUUUCCGACCCUUCGGAACUGGGGCACAACCCUUUCCCGACCCUUCGGGUUAGGGGCCACUCCCAUAGUCUCUUAUGCCUCUUUUAAAACUGUCAGCAGGGACGCUCUUCGGAGCCGACUUGACCUGAUGGUUCGAACAUAUGUCGACGGGGGAUAUCUCGGUACCCACAACGAUGAAGAGCGCAGUUAAAUGCGAUACACAAUGUGAAUUGCAGAACUCCGUGAAUCAUUGAGAUCUUGAACGCAACUCGCCCCCCGCCAUCGAGGCCGGGGGAGGACACGUUGAGCGCCAAUUAUUAUCAAUCACGGCUACCCGCUGUGCGACUGGGCUCUGGAAUACCAGGUCUUAAAUGCAGGGAUACUAAUACCGAUACCCAGAAGUCUGGUUUUACGACCCGAUGGCGAGGGGAGGUAGGUGUUAGGUGUACCAUAAAUAAAUGAAGGGGAGUGCCUACCUUCGCAAUCCAUGGCUCACUUACAGGGGCUUGUCCCCUUAUACUGGCCUCAGCUGGUCCGGAUUACCCACUGAACUUAAGCAUAUCAUUAUGUGGAGGAAAAGAAACCAACAGGAUUCCCUAAGUAAGGGCGACUGAACAGGGAAAAGCUCAAACUUAAAAUCGGCCUGGGUUACGGCCCUUGUCCGAAUUGUAGUUUUGCGAGUGGUCUCAGGCGUUGGCCCCAGUCUAAGUUCCCUGGAACGGGACGCCAUAGAAGGUAAUAGCCCUGUGAGGCUGGUGCCGUCCGCGCCGUCAUGUUUCCACUUCGAGGAGUCAGGCUGUUUGAGAGCACAGCCUAAAGCGGGUGGUAAGCUCCAUCCAAAGCUAAAUAUCAGUGGGUGUCCGAUAGCGAACAAGUACCGUGAGGGAAAGAUGAAAAAGACUCUGAAAAGAGAGUUAAAAGUAUUUGAAACCGUCGACAUCGAAGCGGUUGUGCCCCCUAUCUUUGUCCCUAGAAUCAGCUGGGCUGCCUUUCGAAGCGGGUUGUUGAGGAGGGUAAAACCUUCGAAGAUAUAGCCCGUAGAGAGGGCUCCCAGUGCACUUUUGGGGAAGCGGAGCAGUGUCAUUGGACAGUCGAAUUGAGCUGGUGCUGGAGGUAGUCGGUUUCGGCCGGCGAAUACUGUGUCAUGUCUUCUAACUGACUUUACAAUGGAGGCCCUGAGGGCCUUUCCCGUCUCUAUAGGGGCCCGGUCGUCGCGUGGAAGGCCCCGAUAUCCGGCAACGGGUGUCGUGGGUCCAAAUUCGGCGGUCGGGUCACCAGGACGGGUCCCGCACUGUGUUUGGGAGUACAACCGUCCCGUCUUGAAACACGGACCAAGGAGUGUUAAUUGUAUGCGAGUCUAACGGGCAUGAAACCCAGAGGCGAAGCGAAAGCAACUGUGUCAAGCCUCCCUCGGUGGCUGCAGCACAACUCAACCAGUACACUUAGUGGAAAGUGUUGAAGGGGAGCAUACAGUUAACGACCCGAAAGACAGCGAACUUUACCUGCAUAGGGUGAAGCCAGAAGAAAUUCUGGUGGAGGCCCGUAGCGGUUCUGACGUGCAAAUCGAUCGUCAAAUGUGGGUAAAGCGGCGAAAGACUAAUCGAGCUGUCUAGUAGCUGGUUCCUUC
rnacentral:misc_RNA from 1 species